CUGAGGCAAAAUCACAAGUGCGGUGAAACCAAUAGAAUUUUGUGCUCUCAAUUUGAAUGAAUAAUGAGUGUUAUGUGACCUCUGUGCAUGUCAGCAAUUUGAUCCAAGCUGCCACCAAAGUCAGUUUCCCAGCAAUCAAAUGCCCACGACAUAACUUUGCCGGAAAAGAUCUAUGAACUAUGCUGGUGCACAAACACCCUCAGACACUCAGCCUUGGAUUUGAAUGGCUCCAAGCUAGCCCCUGCAGGUUUGCAUGUCAUCAGACGGCCGACCUCUCGUGUGGGUCGACCUGCCGGAGGAGACACACCUCAGCCAGGAAACGUUGACUCGAAUUUUGGAUCUUAUCCCCGAGCUCAGCAUGACCCUCUGGCUCCCGAGCGAGAUGACGUCCCCCUUUUGGAUCCAUGCAGCUGGCAGCUGAGUGCUGGAGCAGAAGAUGGUCACAACUUUAUUGACUUUCGGCAUGUGGCCCCUAGCUCCACAUGACAAGGAAAGGUUGAAAACAGCCUCAAGGCUGUCUGAUAUAAAGGGGCCCCAGCAGAGUGAACUUUACCGGCUUUUGGAGCAGGCUGCUCCAGAUGGCUGAAUCCAGAGCAGCUCGUGGUAAUGGUGGUUUUUGCAACCCAGAUCCAUUUUCCUGGUGCCCGAAAGCCCCCGAGAUCUGUUUCCUUUGCUGAUUACAUUGGCCUCCCCCAGAGUUUUCCCCCCCAAAAGAGCAAAAAAAGACAACUGUUAGGAAUGAUUAACGGUCGUCCUCAACGGUUAGACGACUUCCACAUCUUAUUUCGGCAGAGCUCACACACAACAAGUGCUCAUGUUAUGAUUACGGUUAGCAGUUGUUUUUUGCUUGGAAUCUUCACAUUGGCUUUACUUUCACAAAAGAAAUGCCCUCAAUGUGUUUCUUCAAAAAAGACAAUAAUGAUGUCACUUAAUGAUUCACUGAGCUGCAGAAUAAUGAGCUGUCUCAUUAUCAUUGAUUUAUAUAAAUGUUUGUCUGCACUUUCUUCCUACAAAGCAAGCGUAUGUGUGCAAUAAUAAUGAAUUUGUGAACUGCAGGAUUUGCAGGUAUGUGUAGAGAUUUUUUUUUUUCAUAAAAUGUUUUAGCAAGCCAGCAAUCAGUAAGUUGACACCGCUAAAGUAGUCAGUAAAUGUAACCAUGAUUGAUUUUAUUAUAGGUACCAAACUUUUAAUAUUUUUUUAUGGAAUCCAUGCCCAAUCAAACAGCAUAAACAUUUUGAUCAUAAUGAGAACUCUAUUUGCUGAAAAAAAAAAAAAACCACCCCCUCCCCCCGCCCACCACUACGUUGUUCCACCCCGUGGUCUCCAUCUCAUCACUGGUUUCUUUUCAAAACAGCCUCACAAACAUCAUGAUUGAUUCAGCUACUAUCCUGCAGGAUCUCUCAAUGCCUGCCUGGGCUGGAGAUUAAUUUCAUUUCCUCAUCUUAAUUUUUACUCAUCGCCUCUCCAUAAAAAGGCUAAAUGUCAAGCAUGCCUGACUCCUUCUAGUGACACGUCUAUUCCAGCAGAUAAUUACCAUAAGGAAAUUGAUGCUUUAGUGUGCAUGGGGGAAAUUUAAUUUACCCCGACAACCUCACAGCAUAAUGCUUUCCUAAAGAAAGAGAAUUUUUCACUUUGCAGUUGACGUUUUAGAGACUAUUUAAUGUGAUUAUCAGCCUUGAACAUAUUUGACUUAUUAAGGUGCUCUAAGCAAUUAAGUGCUACACCGUGCUCGUGCUUCCACAUGUGAAACAUUGAAUACUGCUUAAGGAUCCAUGAAAUAGGAAGCCGGAGUGUAUUGUUUGGUAGUCGGCCAGCUACAUCAGCCGCUUGAAAGCCCCCCCACCCCCCAACCCUAACCCCAUAUACUCGCCCAGUGAUAUUAAUUACAGCAACACGACUUUCUUCAGGUUGUUGAUCAACCUCGAGGUUUCUGUUUACGAUAAGACUUGAUGAUUGCCUGCUCAAACAGGAAGAUUAAUGUUCAAUUCAAUAAUUUCAUCAAAGCUUGAGCUGGGACGCUCAUUAACAGUGGGCAAGAGGGCCACAACUCACAGCACUGUUGUUAUUUAGUUGGAAAAGAAAAGCAUUAAGAUGACUGAUGAAAAGUGAAAAUGCUAUUGGUCUUGUUCACUAUUUUGUUCCUUAAAAUGAAAGUUUGGGGCACCAUUUGUUGAGUCAUGAACAGAUGCCUCAGAUCAUGCUGAGUCAUAUUUAAGUCCAAACAUUCCCUCUGCACAACAGGGACCACCUAUCUUGCUUUUUCAUAGCAAACAUGGUCAAAAAUGAAGAAAAAG